UACGUAGGGUGCAAGCGUUGUCCGGAAUUAUUGGGCGUAAAGAGCUCGUAGGCGGCGUGUCACGUCGGUUGUGAAAGCCCGGGGCUCAACCCCGGAACUGCAUUCGAUACUGCUGCGCUAGAGUACUGGAGAGGAGAUUGGAAUUUACGGUGUAGCAGUGAAAUGCGUAGAUAUCGUAAGGAAGACCAGUGGCGAAGGCGGAUCUCUGGACAGUUACUGACACUGAGGCACGAAGGCCAGGGGAGCAAACGGG
rnacentral:rRNA from 1 species